GAUGCAGAAGAACAUCCUGAUCUCAUUAUUUCCAAUACCACGUGUCUGUAUCACUGCACUGUCGUCCACCGUUAUCUAGUAAUCUUCUUUUCUAAGGACGUUUGAUUGCAAAAUUUAUGAAAGAGGAUAUGGAAUACCGAAGACGCGUGGAUUUAGAUGGCGAAUAGCAUUUCAAUGUCAAAAGUCAUUCUUUUAGACAGAAAACUGCCCAUAUAUAGCGUAAAGCUAAUAUAUUCUAAUAAAGUUCAAACUAGAUAAUUCAUACAUACGUUAUAUUAAAGGGAAAAAUCAUAAAUCAGGAUUGAAACACGCUAAUUUUUUUUCUGAAAUUUUCUUUCAUUCUUUGUGUUUUUUGUUGUUUAUAUAAGUAUAGUAAAACGUUUUGUGGUUUGCUACCCACUUCCGUAAUGUUUGAUUAAAAUACUCACUAAUUUAUGAACGAAUCAAGAUAAAUUGUAAAGAAAGGAAUAUCUUUAUCAAAAUUAUUCUUUUUAUAGAAUUCAAAGUUUAAUACACUGGAUCUUAUAUUCCGAUUUAUCGGUAAUUAGAGAAGGAAUGAUCAAAAAUGAACGCAACCAUUACCACACAAAGCCGAUUGAGCAUACUCGACUAGUUUCGUCAAUUCUUCAGGGGUGUAUGAAUAUUGCUUAGUUACAUGUACACCGUGAUUCCAUGCGUAACUAAGCAAUAUUCAUAUUCUCCUGAAGAAUUGAAGAAACUAGCCGAGUAUACUCAACCCGCUGUAUAUCUUUAUUAUACUACUACUGGUGUAUAUUUUUCUAUAUCUACACUUUGUGUGCUUUUCAUGUUUAAUAACACAAAAUAGAGAGGACCAAAAAAAAGUCAUUAUUGGAUUUGUAAUAAUGAUCAAUAUUCGAACUUGAGUAGGAUGAAAUAUUGCUUGUAACAUACACGUGUAAAAUGAUGGGUUUUUCGUAAAAUCACGACUAGGUUUAACAAAGUCAUGUCGUAGAUUUCAAUGUACAGACAUAUUCAAGUCCUGCACAGGUGAUCAGAAUUAUCCUACCCGUCACAGUAACAGAUUUUUCGAUCAAUCAAUCAUAUUUUGGUACUUUAUAGAAAAGUAAACAACCUGAUUGAAUAACGACUUAGACACGACAGCCAUCACUAUGUUCAAACUAGAUUUAUGGUUCAAUGAAUUAUCGAAAUGUUCCUUAAAAUUGAACAAUUAUACGCCUGAUUAGAAAAACAUUGAAACCUCGCCAACCAGGUAUUCAUCCCCAUUCAUUGUCCACUUUUGGAUGUGCUUCAUGCUUCGGCUUCAUUAGUCAAGUAGAAUUCAGCUGGGUGUUUAAUCUUCUUCAGUUAAGCGCUUGACGACAAGAGCAAAUGGAGGCUAUAUCUGCUUUACCCAGUAGUCAAUUACUCAUUGAUCAGCAUUUAGUCAUUCAAAGCUCUUGUCGCUCUGGUCUUUUUUGUCCAUCUUCUCCUCGACGAGCCACCAUUAAUGUCUUGGUCAGUUUUAUGUUUUGAACAGGUGGCCGGACGCUUCAGAAGAAAUAUGACGCAAAAUAUGCAAAUUAUGCAAAUGCUGUCCGAUUAGCUAUAAUGAUUAGUUGUUUGUAAAUUACAUUAAUGCGACGUGUUUUGAGACAAAAUUUGUGUAAUAUGGAGUGGGAUUUAUGUGUUAAUGGAGAGUUACUGAACUAGAGAUUGCGUCCAGAUGUAUUCAGCAUCUGUGUCUUUGGUGAAUUACAACACGUUAUGAAAACAUUUAGCAAUUCUCUGAUAAUAGUAAGCUUAUAGACUAAUAUAGUAGGUUGUAUGUUAUACGUCAUAACUCUAAGACAACACUGUGCAGAGAGAAAAAAUCAUGACGAUUUCUAUUACAAGAUUGAAUGGUAAUCUACGUGUGUUUGUACAUUUAGGAGAUUGGUGAUCAUAAUUGGGAAAUAAUGAAUAAAUUGUAAUAAACAAUAUAAUUUGAUAUAUGCUGUUGAUUAGAGCAUUGGCGAAAUCAUCAUUCGUGAUAGCUAUAUUAAGUUUAAGUCAGUGGAUAGAACAUAAGCAUGAAACACCCGUGUCAAUAAAUGUGUCAGAUCCGCGCCCGUCUUGUGCAUGAUAAAACAUACAACCAUUACCAGGGUCCUUACAAAUCUUUCGAUUGCAAAAAAAAAAAAAGAAAGUUAUGUAAUUAAUGGAGGUGCUAAUCCUUAAAGUGCCAGGUCUCAUGCAUAUGUUCUUUUUUAACUGCCAGAAAAAGUACGAAAUCUAACACAGCAAAGUGCGAACGCAGACCUUAAAGGAAUGAACAGUUUUUGAUGAUCUUAAGAGACUGAUAUAUGAAAAAUAUAUUUUCCUGUUGCAAUUAAUAUCAAAUAUUUGCAUUGAGAUUUUUUGCUGAUGUUUUAUUUCUCGAAGAGACAGUGUAAAUUAAAUGGAGACUGGUUUCUUCUACAGAAACACUGUCCGCCAUCAUAUUGGCGCUUACUCCGCCGAAAGAUAAAAGGAAAAUAAUCCUCCGUAAAUACCUUUCGAGUACCCUCUGCAGUUAUAAAUGAUAUUACUUGUUAAUUUACUCCCAUGCCGGACUGUAAAGCAGACAACCUUUGACCCCAAUGUACAUAUGAAUAAGAGGACCGGAAUCUUUGUGAGAUUUCUGUACCCCUGUGCAUGACUUCGGUAUUUGAAGUAUUUUUGAAGUGUAAAAGCUGGAUUGCAAAAGAUGUUGAAUUUAUAAUGUAUGCAGACAUAGGAUAUAGUUCACAAUAAAUUAUAUUUAAAAAAGUUUUAUCCAUAAACAAUACACAUGACUUUUGUAUAUUCCGUUGCAUUAAAAUAUAUAAACAAAAGCAAUGGUUAAUUAUGUCUAUUUUUCGUUUCUUUGAGUACAUGUAUCUAUACCAAAUGAUCUGACGGCUCGAUAAUUGUCUGAAACUGUGUACAAAAUAAGUAAUCGUGUAGAAAAAAUACCAUAUGUUAAAAUAUUACCCUUACUACAUAAUAUAGCCUAUGUUUGUUAACAUAUUAUCCUUACUACAUAAUAUAUGAAAGUUGGUUGUGGAAUAUUGAUCACACACAAAUCAGAAAUGUAAUUAAAACAUUAAACCAGAACCAUUAGAUUAUCAUCAUUAAUUGUACCAUACAAUGGACACGUGCUUAUCAAUUAAAAUUACAUUUAUACGAAGAUAGACAUCCGUUUGUGGGCGUGUUCUUAUGCAUGAAUUGUAACUGCUGUGUGUGUGUGUAUCGAGAUUGGUAUUUAUAAUAUAGUGCUAUAAUUUGGUUGCAAACAGGACUGGUAGUAUAUAUGUGUAAUUUGGAACAAACGUAAAGAGAAGAACUCGUAGUUGUACGAUCCUUUUGUAUAUAUCAUAAACAAUAAAAUAUGUUCAAAUCAAUUCAAACGUGAAGAUAGUUAAAAUGACAUUGCUGUGAAUACGCUUCAUUAACUCUGUUGCAUUCUCUCCUCCCGUUAUAACAGUAUAGAGAAAUAUUUGUGUCAAUAGCCCUGUUUUGUUGUUGCUGUUUUGCUUAUUUUCAUUCUGGGAUUUUUUUUAUUUUUUUUGAUAAAAAAAAAAUGCACGAGUAUUUCAGACGUGUAUUAGCAUCUUUCAAAUUUCAAAUACAUAUUUUAGAUUAUCAACAUUUUGUUGCAUUGCAAUAUUGUCCUAAAAUUAUUGUACCGUUUGGUAUGCAAGUAUUGGCUUUGAAACCUUUCCCAUUUUCAGACGAAUAAAUGUGAAAACAUGAUAUUUCACAUAAAACAUAAGAUAUUACAUACGUUGUGAAAUUUAAUCUUUAGAAAAUCUACCAUGCAUCUAUUGUUGAAAUUUUAUCUUUAAAAAUUCUACCAUGCAUCUAUAGUUGAAAUUUAUCUUUGUUCUUCAAGGAAGUUUUUCUCUCAGCUGAUAAUGAAUAAAAGAGAUGUUCAAAAAUAGGCAUAGAAUCCUAUUCCUAGUUUAUUUUGUCAUUAUGAAUAUUGCAACCCAAUCUCGCAAAACAGCUUAAAGUAUCGCAAUAUAUCGCGACAGGAAAAUUGUUAAGCAACACUUAACCCUAUUUAUAGGACAUCCACUCUCAUAAUGCAGGCAUGGGUUUGUACGUUGUACAUAUAAAUAUAUGCAACACAUAUUACUUGUAUUUAUAAAUUAAAGAGAUUUUUAAUUAAUCAAUGAACACUUGCUUUCGAUGUAUGAGGCGUUUUAUUACGUAUGUAUUUCAUUUCUAGUCAAUAUCUGAUGGAAGAUGAUGAAGUUUAGAACUAGAGAAAAAUAACAAUGAUGAUAAUACAACAUGAAUGAGAAGAAAAGAUUAUCAUUAUUAUAAAUUAUAAUAUAAAGUGAUAAUACAAGAACACCCCCGACAAAAAAUUCAGCGUUACCCUACAUGGUUUAUUACAGUGGAAAAUAAACAAAGACUCUCCACUAUUCUCUUUGAUAGACGUACGAAAUCAAUUCAAAAAAGCAAAUACAUCCGAUGGUACUACAUCAGCGAUUAACUGGGAUUUAUAUAUAACCCACCAGACGCCAAGUGGCCAACAGAAGGGGGCUAUUUCUACAACAAACAAGAAUACAAUGUCGGACUAAAAGGAUCAACGGUAUUUAAAACAACCGAAGCCAACAAGAAUCUGGUGUGAAGGAGAAAUUCAACUCGUCCGCACAAAGUGAAUCUCAAUAUUUGCGGAAAAUAUUAGAACCCCAGCAGACUUUGAUGUGAUGGCGAUUUGUUGAUAAUAUUUGUACGUCAACAAUUAGAUCUACUGAUCCGUCCCUGCAAGAUCUCUACUGUCCGGUUCGCACAUGCGCUGAUUAACACGGGAUACGGAGCGCUCGCGUCUUGUCAUUUGCUGAAAUACGGGGUGAAAAUUAGAAAGCCAGAGGCGCUGGAAGAGAUGGUGAUUCAUAUUGACAUAUUUAUUUCCUGCAUGUCGUCUGGUGUCGAUAGAGGUCAGGACAAGUCCUCUUGGCUGCAGAAGAAUAUUCUCCGUCUGCAAAGUACUCAAUUGUGUCAUGAUUAUUACGCAACCAAACAAUGUUUUGUUGGUUUUCAAGAUGACUACACCCUCACUCGAUUUCACUUCCUUCAUUUUGCUUAAAUUGCUGAUUGUUUUGAGCCGUUGGGUUUUCAUUGGGUCACUGGUGGAUCUGUUUUUAGUCUGUUACAGAAAUUUUGAAUUAACAGAGGUUAGACGAUGUGGUCCGUACUGUUUAGCACAGAUCUGAACUGUUCUGUGGAGACCCGACUAAAGCUUAGCACAGAUCUGAACUGUUUUGUGGAGACCCGACUAAAGCUGUUACAAAACAGUGAAAGAUGAAGAUAACGAACAGUAUAUAUAGCGAACAUAUAUAUGUAUAUGUACCGAAUGAUAACAAAUUAAUUGAACAUAUGCAUCUGAAUAAUGUAAAGGUAAGCACCAUUCAUUACA